rnacentral:lncRNA from 1 species
CUUGGGAGGAGACAGGAGGAUUACCAAGAGUUGAAGAACAGCCUGGGCUAGCCAGAUGCUGUCUCCUGUGGGCACUCACUGUGAGGACCUUGGGAAAACUGAAGCUGCAAGCUCCUUCUGAAUACUGCAUGAAAACGCACAUCAAGUGGCAUGUCGCUGAUGUUUAUGUUGCCUCCAUUGGAGCCAAGAACAGAAAUCGAAUCCCUCCCAGCUCUCCAGUUCACAGUCUGUGGGGGAGGGGUGGGGAGGGAGGCAGACUGUUCUAGAAAGCACAAGGCUUUUCUGGAACUGCUCUAAAAGCAACAUGUGUAGCAUCCGUUACAGCGAGGCUCCCAGGGCACCACUUAGCAGCAGGUUUAUUGAGCUCUGCAUGUUUGGUUUGAUUUGGUUUUUUGAGAUACAGUUUCUCUGUGUAGCCCAGGCUUUUCUGGAACUCACUCUGUAGACCAGGUUGGCCUUAAACUCAGAGAUAGGUCUGCCUCUGCUUCCCGAAUGCUGGCAUUCGCCACCACUGCCCAGCAAACCCUGAGUGUCUUAAUUCCCUUCUCUGUGGAAUGGGGCUUGUGUAGACUCCAUGGUGAGACUGUGAGGGUCAAUGGAUUUGCAGUCUGUCCAACAGUUGCUCAAAUGUUGGCCAUUUUGCUGGCUAACAGGAAAAGCGGUUAUUUGCUUUCUGUCCCUUAGUAAUGUAAGUCUUCAGAGCCUCCUUGUUGGCGAGGCAUAAUGGUGAGUUGGAGGCGAACCUGGGCUAUUGCCUCAUCUUAGGAAAAAAUGCUUCUCAUUUGCUUAAAAUAUACCCACUACAUACACACCAGAAGUUUGUACGUGUUAGGGAGGGAUGCAUGCUCUUAUAUAUGCAAGUACACCUUUAGGUAUAUGUAUAGAAAUUAGAGGUUGGCCUCAAGGGUUGGUCCUCAGGAGCUGACCACCUUGGCUUUUUUUCCCCCUUUUUGGAAUUAUUUAUUUACUUUAUGUAUAGGAGUACGUUGUCCCUCUGUUCAGAUGCACCAGAAGACGGCAUUGGAUCCCAUUACAGAUGGUUGUAAGCCACCAUUGUGGUUGCUGGGAAUUGAACUCAGGACCUCUGGAAGAGCAGUCAGUGCUCCUAACUGCUGAGCCAUCUCUCUAGCUCCAAUCAGCUCCACUCACCUUGGCUUUUCAAAGGCUUUUCCUCUCACUGGGCCCUGUGUCUGUCAGUUAAACGAGACUGGCAUGGAACACAUGCACAUAGCAUACCCAGGGUCUCGCAUAAGUGCUAGGGAGCAAGUCAGCUCUCCUUGCUUGUGUGGCAAGCCCUUUACCAUCUCCCCAACUCGGUGUGCAAAAACGUAAUAAUGCAAUUUAAAUUGCCAUGACAACUAUAAAUAAUGCUAUUGAAGUUAUAUAGAUAAUUGGUAAUCACAAAAAGGUAAUCACUGAGCGAAUAAAUGAAACCAGUCCCAUCAAUUAGGGAGAUAUGUCUCAGUCUUGCAUGUAUGUAAGAAUAAACAGACAGAUCAAUAGACAGGUAGGUAAUAGAUGAAAGAUAGAUGAUAGAGAUAUAGAUAGAUGAUAGAUAGAUAGAUAGAUAGAUAGAUAGAUAGAUAGAUAGAUAGAUAGAUAGAUAGAUAGAUGUGUAAAAACCACGUGUUUAUGAUUUAUCCCACGUGGCCCAUUCCCACUGCCAUGACUAAUCUCCUUAUAUUCAUUUUUCAAACCUAUGGGAUACCAGAAAGAAGCCUAACCAUACUACCCUCUCUCCAGCUUCUCAGUCUCAGAGUUUGCCAUCUAUACAUUUGAUACUAUCCAGUGUCCUACCAAUGAUUCUGAUUCUAGAGCUCAGGGACUUGGAAAAGAAGACUCCUUCCUGUCAGCAUCUCCACAUACUUGCAGGGUUCACCUAGGGCAGGAAGCUCAAGGUCCUGUGCACAUAGCCAUUGCUGGGUUCUCACCUGCAGCCUGAGGUGAAGGUCAUAGAUUUCUCAGGAGGGAAAAGUGGCCUACGUAUCUUUCUUUUAUUUUUUCAAGUGAGCACUUAUUCAUAAACUCAUUAAAACUUUUUUCUUAAUAAGCAUUUCCUAAGCUCCUAAAACAAAGUCCAGAUGUCCCAGGCCUGAGUAGUAACUUUCAGACAGGUACUAAACAGACAGGGAUGCUAAACCCUAGAAAGGUGCCCCUUAGAGAGGGGUUGGGGGAGGGCAAAAUGAAAAUAUAAAAGGUACCUAAGGAUCCCAUUACCGCUAACAAAGCUUCCCCACCCACAGGAAUCCAGCACACUUUCUAAUGGCUGGGAACACUGCUUAAGAAAUGGUUCCCACUUCCUCUCAGCGCACGGUCACUAGUUUCCACCCACCGAGGUGCCUGCAUCUCCAUAUCUGGUUUUCUGGAGCUCUGAUGAAUCCACAGAGGGCUACACUAGACCCAAAAGGGGUUGUUUAGCAGCACAUUCCCUUUGGCACAUCGCUGCACACACCCACACCUCAGUCCCUUGCCUUCUUUGGCUGCUUCUUGACCUUCUGCUGAUCUUAAUGGCAUUGGAGCUUUACAAAAACAGUGCUGUCUUCCCACAGCAAAGAAGUGUUCUCAAUUCUCCAUCUACCAUGAUCACAGCAGAGAAAGCAGAUGAGAGGGUAGACAAAUGUGUGUCUCUGGUUCAGGCUCCUACCUAGCUCUCCUUACAACCACUACUUGGGUUCCUCAAUGGCCCCCUGAUCUCAGGUAGCCUUGACACAUGUCCCUGUUCAGCCCUGCUGGAAAGCGGGCCCUGAUUCCACAGAGCACCAACAAAGAACCCUUGCUUGCUUCUGUAGUAUUCUUACCCCGAUGUCGUCCACUCAUUAAUUGUGAGAAAACAUUGCACAAGCAAAAGACAGCCAACAAAACACUCGGUGAGCACCGUCCAGAUGUCCCAACAUCAUGAAAGAUAGAGAAAGGUGUCACAGAGCUAAGAAGACCUAAUAUAGACAUGGCAGCAAAAUGCACACUGGUGAGAUUAAAGCCUUUGGAGUGGCCCACAGCCUCUUUCUUGCUGGUGUGCAUUUCUGUGAAGUCGUGUGAGACAUUCACAAGGUGAAGUUGGGUAGACAGGUGCUUCCCGAAUAAUCUUUGUGACACUGCUGUAAUUCUCCAACCUUUCCAAAAUAAAGGGAUUUAAAAGAAGCUGCCACACAAAGCAGCUAUUGCCCCCUCACUCUUUGUCAUCUUUUGUCGACUGCUUUCAGGCCUUGGGCAGAACAAAAGAGAGAACAAUGCUCUUUGCUGGUUGGGCACACCAAUGAUCAAAGAGAUAAGAUUCUUAAUGACAAGGGCCACAGCCUGCUACCAGACAGGCCAUUAGGGUAGGUGGCUUGCAUUGGCCCUAGGCCCACACUCCCUCUCUCCCCUCCUCCUUCCCUCCCUUCCUCCUUUCCUCCCAGUGGCCAUUCAGAUGACCUGGGUGAGAACAGAGCUUCUCAGGAAGCCUGAAGUUCUGAGUCCAGAGCUUAGGAAGGCUCUGAGGAAGCCUCUGUGCCUUAAUGUCCCCAAAGUCAGCAGGCUCAUACCCAGCUCAAAGCCAGCAAGUCCACUCUCAGAUUAGUGGGUUCUAGAUUCUUCUUCAGGGAGAAAAGAGAGUGGAGUUGAAACACCCUUAAUACCCUAAUUCUCUCAAAAGAUGAUUCAGACUUUUGUAGCUUCAUUAGCAUUUGCAGAUAAAAAUACAUUUUAAGUGGCAUUAUGCUAAGUAAUUAUUCUUACAAGAUGUGGAAUUAAAUACAUUUCCCUCAGCAUGAAAUUAUUCCUGCCACGUACUGAGUUGGGUGACAGCUUAAAAAGAAUUUGGACAGGGGGUUGCCACGAAAGGAAGAAGCAAUCUAUAUUCUUGAGGCGGUGGGGGGAAACCAACCCAAAAUAUCCACCAAAGGUAAAGUCCUUGUAGCAAAAUCAUUUUGGCUAGAUGGAAUAUUAAACCUGCUACUAUAAAUUUCACGCUUUGCAUUCCUAAAGCAGACGCAGAGAAAUGAUGCCAAAAAUUAAUCAGAAAUAAUGCCCGCCUUGCACGCUUUUUCCAGUAGGGGGCAGAACAGAUAAGACUGUGUGCGCUGGAGACCUCCCUAGACUGAUAAUCAGGCUUGUUUGUAAUUGCCUCUGUAAAGAUAUGUAGCCGCAUGCUUGAAUGCUUAUUUACAUUUUGGGAUGUGGUUGGGAAUAGAGGCUUUCGAUUUAGAACUUUGUUUCUGUCUCUAAGUACAUGGGAGACUUUCAGCUGUCGCGAACCUUGUAUUUACCAAUGCAUGGUGUUCAAUUGCUGGAUUUAAUUGUUACAGUACAGUGAAUUAUUCUAUUAUUUCUAACUAUUUUUUAUCUGGAAAAUUCAAACUUUCCAGGCUUUAGGGCAGGAUAAAAUGGCUCUGAGCAUGUCAGCGUCUCAAGAGUACAUUAUUUUCUUAUUGGAUUG